rnacentral:rRNA from 1 species
UAGUAAUUCCCGUUGAUCCUGCGGGAGAGCACUGCUAGUGGAGUUCGACUUAGUCAUGCAAGUUAAUCCGAAAGGGUAGCGGAAGGCUCCGUAACACGUCAAUAAUCUACCCUAAGGUUCGGUACAACAUCGGGAAACUGAUGCUAAUUCCGGAUAGAAGAAAGAUACUGGAAGGUUCUCUCUUCGAAAGCUUCGGCGCCUUGGGAUGAGUUGGCGGCAGAUUAGGCUGUUGGUAGUGUAAUGGACCACCAAACCUAAGAUCUGUAGGGGGGAUGAGAGUCUGAGCCUCGAGAGGGACACUGAGAUAAGGGUCCCAGCCCUACGGGGUGCAGCAGAUACGAAACCUGCACAAUGCGCGAAAGCGUGAUGCGGGAACUCCACGUGCUAUGGCUCUAAGUCAUAGCUUUUGCUAAGUUUUCAAAGCUUGGCGAAUAAGUGGUGGGCAAGACCGGUGCCAGCCGCCGCGGUAAUCCCGGCGCCACGAGUGGUAUUCACGUUUAUUGGGCCUACAGCAUCCGUAGCCGGCUCGUUAAGUCUUCUGUGAAAUUUGGCCUUUCAAGGGUCAAGCGUGCAGGAGAUACUGGCGAGCUAGAGACUGGGGGAAGCAGAUGGUAUUCCUGAGGGAGCGGUAAAAUUAAUUUUCAAUUCUCAGUUUUUGGUUCUGAAAAUUUAUUACAGUGUUUUAAUCUCAGGAGGACCUCCGAUGGCGAAGGCAAUCUGCUAUAACAGUUCUGACGGUGAGGGAUGAAAGCUAGGGGAGCAACCUGGAUUAGAUAGGUCUCUUUUUCUUUUCGUGAAAAGAAAAAGACACCUGGGAGAAAAAGAAAAGGUAGUGCGAUUUUCAAUCGCACAAAAUUUUCUUUCCCAGACUAGAUCCUAAAGACCCAGUUAGUCCUAGCCGUAAACACUGCUAGUUUGGUGCGACAGUUUCUUCGGGAAACUGUGGUGCCGUAGCGAAGGCGUUAAACUGGCCGCCUGGGGAGUACGGCCGCAAGACUGAAACUUAAAGGAAUAGGCGGGGGAACACCACAAGGGGUGAAUGCUGCGGCUCAAUUGGAUUCAACGCCCAGAACCUUACCAGCAGCGACAGCAGAAUGAAAGUCCUCCUGAAUGGGGUACUAGACACGCUGAGAGGUGGUGCAUGGCCGUCGUAAGCUCGUGCCGUGAGGUGUUCAGUUAAGAAAAAUUUUGGACAAAAUUUUCCAACACGAAAAAAUUCCAAUUUUUUCGCUGUAAGUCUGAGAACGAGCGAGACCUGCGUUUUUAUUUGCUAUCUUAAUUGCGAAAGUAGUUGGGAGCACAAUAGAGAGACUGCUGGCGUAAGCCAGAGGAAGGUGCAGGCGACGAUAGGUCUGUAUGCCCCGAAUCUGCUGGGCUGCACGUGGCAUGCAUUGGUUAAUGCAACGGGCUGCAACUCCGAGAGGAGAAGCCAAUCCCUUAAUGUUAACCUUGUUCGGAUCGAGGAUUGCAAUUCAUCCUCGUGAAGGCGAAAUCCCUAGUAACCGUGUUUUAGCAUAGCAUGGUGAAUACGUCCCUGUUCCUUGCACUCACUGCCCGUCAACCCAUUCGAGUCGGGUUUGGAUGAGGGCUGCGCUGAGCAGUUCGAAUCUGAGUUCGGCGAGGCGGGGUAAGUCGACACAAGGGAUCUGUAGGGGAACCUGCGGAUGGAUCACCUCCUUA